GUAGGUGAACCUGCGGAAGGAUCAUUAUCACGUAUCCACGUAUAAACCAAUUCGUGAACUGUCACAACUAACCUCUGAGCUAUCGGUCGCUACCAUGAACUAAUGAGCGCAUUGUAUGAUUAGGCGUUCUCAUGGUAAUCAAGACUGUCUCUUCAGAGUGUAUUAAUCAUACUUUUAUUAACCACUUGAACCUUUUAUAAUUUCUUUGUUUGAACUGAUUUGUUUCUUACUCGGACGUAACACUCUGAGAAGAAAUCGAAUACGAAACAAAAAAGAACAACUCUUAGCAACGGAUAUCUUGGUUCUC
rnacentral:misc_RNA from 1 species